rnacentral:tRNA from 4 species
GCGGAAAUAGCUCAGUUGGUAGAGCAUAACCUUGCCAAGGUUAGGGUCGCGAGUUCGAGUCUCGUUUU